GUGUGUGUGUGUGUGUGUGUGUGUGUGUGUAUGUAUCUAUAUAUAUAUAGAUAUAUACACACACACACACACACAAACAC